rnacentral:rRNA from 1 species
CCUACGGGUGAGCAGCAGUGGGGAAUAUUGGACAAUGGGCGAAAGCCUGAUCCAGCCAUGCCGCGUGUGUGAAGAAGGCCUUCGGGUUGUAAAGCACUUUCAGUGGGGAAGAAAGCCUUGGGGCUAAUACCCUCGAGGAAGGACAUCACCCACAGAAGAAGCACCGGCUAACUCCGUGCCAGCAGCCGCGGUAAUACGGAGGGUGCGAGCGUUAAUCGGAAUUACUGGGCGUAAAGCGCGCGUAGGCGGUCUGAUAAGCCGGUUGUGAAAGCCCCGGGCUCAACCUGGGAACGGCAUCCGGAACUGUCAGGCUAGAGUGCAGGAGAGGAAGGUAGAAUUCCCGGUGUAGCGGUGAAAUGCGUAGAGAUCGGGAGGAAUAACAGUGGCGAAGGCGGCCUUCUGGACUGACACUGACGCUGAGGUGCGAAAGCGUGGGUAGCAAACAGGAUUAGAUACCCUAGUAGUC